GGAUCUCAAUGGAAUUUUACCAUAAGGUUCAAUACCACAAAAGGAAGGUGGGGAUUGAUUUUGGGGGUUAUGGUACCAACAGUUCAGGAAUUAGGGGUCAAAAAGGGGCCAAAAAUAAGCAUUUUUGUAACUUCCAGACAUAACUUGUGUGUAAGUGUAUGGAUCUCUCUGACAUUAUACCACAAGGUUCCAUAUCACAAAGGGAAUGCUGGGAUUGAUUUUGGGGGUAAUUGCCUCCAAAUUUUAGGAAUUAUGGGCAAAAAACAAGCAUAUUUCUAGUUUCAUGACAAUAACUUGUGUGUAAGUCUAUGGAUAUCUCUGACAUUGUUUCACAAGGUUCCAUAUCACAAAGGGAAUGCUGGGAUUGAUUUUGGGGGUAAUUGCCUCCAAAUUUUAGGAAUUAGGGGCCAAAAAGGGGCAAAAAACAAGCAUUUUUCUAGUUUCAUGACAAUAACUUGUGUGUAAGUGUAUGGAUCUUUUUGAAAUUGUACUACAAGGUUCCACAUCACUAAGGGAAAGCUGGAAUCUAUUUUGGGGGUAAUUGCCCACAACGUUUAGGAAUCAGGGGCCAAAAAGGGGCCAAAAAUAUGCAUUUUUCUAGUUUCCAGACAAUAACUUGUGUUCAAGUGUAUUGAUCUCUCUGAAAUUGUACUGCAAGGUACCAUACCACUAAGGGAAGGCUGGGAUUGAUUUUGGGGGUAAUUCCCUAGAAAUUUGAGGAAUUAGGGGCCAUAAAGGGGCAAAAAAAAUAAGCAUUUUUCUAGUUUCAGGACAAUAACUUGUGUGUAAGUGUAUGGAUCUUUAUGAAAUUGUACUGCAAGGUUCCAUAUCCCAAAGGGAAAGCUGGGUUUGAGUUUGGGGUAAUUGCCCUUAAUGUUUAGGAAUUUGGGGCCAACAAGGGACCAAAAAACAAGCAUUUUUCUAGUUUCCAGACAAUAACUUGUGUUCAAGUGUUUGGAUCUCUCUGAAAUUGUACAUGUGAACCUCCCGACGGGAGUACAAUAAUCCUGUUUUCAGGGGUUUCCUCCUGACCUCCCUUUGAAGACAAAAAAAUCCCGUGUAUGAAAUAUUUCAUGAAUGAAAAAUUUCAGCCCAACAUAUCUGGUGUAACUGACAUUACCUGAAGUUAUAUUUUACCUGUAAAUCAAUUAACAUGCAUAAUUAUAUGGCUUCACUUGUCACCUUGGGUGUCAAACAUACUGGUUAUCAACGAUUUUGACCUCAGGCUAACUGCCGUUGUGUAAUAAAACUUUGUGUAGUUAAAAUGAAUGUUGGGUUACUUCCCUUGAUUUAUCCUGUUUUAAGUUACUUUCCUUUAAAUAAUGCAAAUUUUUAAAAGAAUAUAAAUAAAAUAUAAAUUGAACAAAUAAUCAUAAAAGGAUGGUAAUUAAAUGAUUUAAAAUGUCUUAGGACAAAUAAAAAAAUAAUUAUUUGAAAAUUAUUUGAGGGUUCUAUACUUCCUUUCAAGGCUUAAAUUGAAAUUUAUAUAAUAACUAUGACCCAUGUAUACAGAUUGAACGUAUUACUUAUCAAGCAUUAUAAAUCUACUUGCAUAAUAUAAAGAUAAAAAAAAAAAAAAUCUACUUGCAUAAGGAUAAAACAAAAGAUCUACUUGCAGAUAGAUAAGUAAUUGUUUUGAUUGCAAUGAAUAAUGGUAAAACAGAUAUGACCUAAAAAAUUUAGAGAACAUACUAAAAAAGAAGAAUGUUAGAUUGAACAAGUUGAAAGUUUAAAAA